rnacentral:rRNA from 1 species
UACAGGGGGGGCAAGCGUUGUUCGGAAUUACUGGGCGUAAAGGGUCUGUAGGUGGCUUGCUAAGUCAGACGUGAAAUCCCUCAGCUUAACUGGGGAACUGCGUCUGAUACUGGCGAGCUUGAGUGCAGGAGAGGAACGCGGAAUUCCAGGUGUAGCGGUGAAAUGCGUAGAUAUCCUGAGGAACACCAAUGGCGAAAGCAGCUCUCUGGCACGUUACUGACGCUGAGGCCCGAAAGCGUGGGGAGCGAACGGG